rnacentral:rRNA from 2 species
UCGCUCAACGGAUAAAAGGUACUCCGGGGAUAACAGGCUGAUACCGCCCAAGAGUUCAUAUCGACGGCGGUGUUUGGCACCUCGAUGUCGGCUCAUCACAUCCUGGGGCUGAAGUAGGUCCCAAGGGUAUGGCUGUUCGCCAUUUAAAGUGGUACGCGAGCUGGGUUUAGAACGUCGUGAGACAGUUCGGUCCCUAUCUGCCGUGGGCGCUGGAGAACUGAGGGGGGCUGCUCCUAGUACGAGAGGACCGGAGUGGACGCAUCACUGGUGUUCGGGUUGUCAUGCCAAUGGCACUGCCCGGUAGCUAAAUGCGGAAGAGAUAAGUGCUGAAAGCAUCUAAGCACGAAACUUGCCCCGAGAUGAGUUCUCCCUGACCCUUUAAGGGUCCUGAAGGAACGUUGAAGACGACGACGUUGAUAGGCCGGGUGUGUAAGCGCAGCGAUGCGUUGAGCUAACCGGUACUAAUGAACCGUGAGGCUUAACCUUACAACGCCGAAGGUGUUU